rnacentral:tRNA from 1 species
GCCCACAUAGCUCAGUCUGGUAGAGCACGUUCUUGGUAAGAACGGGGUCACCAGUUCGAUUCUGGUUGUGGGCUCCA